rnacentral:piRNA from 1 species
UGCCUGGUUCCUGAUUUUAAGUUUAUGGGU